rnacentral:lncRNA from 1 species
GUAAGUUAAUUGAACCUUAAAUUUUUAAUCUAAUUUGCUUUGAAAUCAUGGUCUUUCUAUACAGCCCUGUUUGGCCUAGUACUUGCCCAGGUGUGGUCUUGAGCUAUAUCCCUAGCCAUUCUUUAUAUAUCUGUUUGCUAUAAUACGGCUUUAUAUCAUCUACUAGAAUAUAAAUGUAAUUUAGUGAACCUUUUAGGUUGUGUUUAGUAGAAGAGGAAAAAAAAUAGUACUCAUUGUUACUUGAAACUGUUUUUUUUUUAAAAAAUUAGGUCUUCACGGAUCCACAUAUAUUUUAAUAAUAAUAAUAAUAAUAAUAAUAAAUAAUCAUUUUGUUUUUCAAGGCAGGGUUUCUUUGUGUGUCCCUGGCUGUCCUGGAACUCACUCUUUAGACCAGGCUGGCCUCAAACUCGGAGAUCCUCCUGUCUCUGCCUCCCACAUGCUGGGAUUAAGGUUGUGUGUCACCAGCACCUGGCAUAUGUCAUCAUUUUGUUCUUUUAUUAUGUAAUAACUUGAGUGUUUUGCUUUUUUAGAGAACAGUGCCCUUUAAAACAUGUUUGCAUUCCUUGCUAUCUUUGCUUUUUACUGGUUGCUUUUAUAACAUUAUUAACGCAGUGGCUUAAGAAAGCAGGAGUUUGUUCCAUUGUAAUGCUCUCAAAGUCAUUCUCGUGAGGCAGGGUUUCUUACUGAUCCCUCUCAGUUAGCCUCUCAGUUAGCCUGUUUCCUUGCCUUUGCCAGCUCCUAGAGGCCACUGUAGGUUUUGACCUUUGGCCUUUCUCUCCAUUUUGAAUGACAGCAGUACUUCCUUUGUAGGCCACUCUUCUCUUUCCUUCAUAUUAGUACAUAUUAGUACUUCAUAUUAGUACUUCAUAUUAGUACUUCAUAUUAGAGCUGGGGUUAACUCAGUGGUAUAAUGCUUACCUGUUGUUUGUAUGGCCCUUGGGUCAAUCUGUGGGACCACAUUU